rnacentral:rRNA from 1 species
AUUGAACGCUGGCGGCAGGCCUAACACAUGCAAGUCGAGCGGUAACAUUUCUAGCUUGCUAGAAGAUGACGAGCGGCGGACGGGUGAGUAAUACUUGGGGAUCUGCCUGAUGGCGGGGGACAACCACUGGAAACGGUGGCUAAUACCGCAUAACACCUACGGGUCAAAGUGUGGGACCUUCGGGCCACACGCCAUCAGAUGAACCCAAGCGAGAUUAGCUAGUUGGUGAGGUAAUGGCUCACCAAGGCGACGAUCUCUAGCUGUUCUGAGAGGAUGAUCAGCCACACUGGGACUGAGACACGGCCCAGACUCCUACGGGAGGCAGCAGUGGGGAAUAUUGGACAAUGGGCGCAAGCCUGAUCCAGCCAUGCCGCGUGUGUGAAGAAGGCCUUCGGGUUGUAAAGCACUUUCAGUGGUGAGGAAGGCGUUGUAGUUAAUAGCUGCAACGAUUGACGUUAGCCACAGAAGAAGCACCGGCUAACUCCGUGCCAGCAGCCGCGGUAAUACGGAGGGUGCGAGCGUUAAUCGGAAUUACUGGGCGUAAAGCGCACGUAGGCGGCUUGUUAAGCAAGAUGUGAAAGCCCAGGGCUCAACCUUGGAAUUGCAUUUUGAACUGGCAAGCUAGAGUUUUGAAGAGGGUGGUAGAAUUUCCAGUGUAGCGGUGAAAUGCGUAGAUAUUGGAAGGAAUACCAGUGGCGAAGGCGGCCACCUGGUCAAAAACUGACGCUGAGGAGCGAAAGCGUGGGGAGCAAACAGGAUUAGAUACCCUGGUAGUCCACGCCGUAAACGAUGUCAACUAGUUGUUCGUGUCUUUGAGACGUGAGUAACGCAGCUAACGCACUAAGUUGACCGCCUGGGGAGUACAGCCGCAAGGUUAAAACUCAAAUGAAUUGACGGGGGCCCGCACAAGCGGUGGAGCAUGUGGUUUAAUUCGAUGCAACGCGAAGAACCUUACCAUCCCUUGACAUCCAGAGAAUCUUCCAGAGAUGGAGGAGUGCCUUCGGGAACUCUGAGACAGGUGCUGCAUGGCUGUCGUCAGCUCGUGUUGUGAGAUGUUGGGUUAAGUCCCGCAACGAGCGCAACCCUUAUCCUUAGUUGCCAGCACGUAAUGGUGGGAACUCUAGGGAGACUGCCGGUGAUAAACCGGAGGAAGGUGGGGACGACGUCAAGUCAUCAUGGCCCUUACGGGAUGGGCUACACACGUGCUACAAUGGCGCACACAAAGGGCUGCAAGCUAGCGAUAGCAAGCGAAUCUCAAAAAGUGCGUCGUAGUCCGGAUCGGAGUCUGCAACUCGACUCCGUGAAGUCGGAAUCGCUAGUAAUCGUGGAUCAGAAUGCCACGGUGAAUACGUUCCCGGGCCU